CGCGUAGGCGGCCAGCGCAAGUCAGUUGUGAAAUCUCCGGGCUUAACUCGGAAAGGUCAACUGAUACUGCGCGGCUAGAGUGCGGAAGGGGCAACUGGAAUUCUCGGUGUAGCGGUGAAAUGCGUAGAUAUCGAGAGGAACACCUGCGGCGAAGGCGGGUUGCUGGGCCGACACUGACGCUGAUGCGCGAAAGCCAGGGGAGCGAACG
rnacentral:rRNA from 1 species